GUAUUUAUUGCAUGUGAGAUUCUUCUUCAGGGGCUGGAGAGAUGGCUCAGCCGUUAAAGACUAGGCUCACAACCAAAAUUAUA
rnacentral:miRNA from 1 species